rnacentral:rRNA from 1 species
UGCAUGAAGUCGGAAUUGCUAGUAAUCGCGGAUCAGCAUGCCGCGGUGAAUACGUUCCCGGGCCUUGUACACACCGCCCGUCACACCAUGAGAGCCGGGGGGACCCGAAGUCCGUAGCUUAACCGCAAGGAGGGCGCGGCCGAAGGUAAAACUGGUGAUUGGGGUGAAGUCGUAACAAGGUAUC